CUUGGAGGGCUGGGGAGAAAGCCGUCUUCCUCCCACCCAGGCCCGCGAUGCGGGCUGCGCCCAGGGGAGCGUGCACACAGAGGCCCCGCCCGGGGAUCCGGGGGUCCGGCUGGGCUCGGCCCUCGGGGGCGUGUCCUCUGUGCCAGGGCGCCACCGCCCCGAGAGGCGGGCAGCGGGUGCGCCCGGGCCGCGGCGGCCGCAGAGGGCGGGCGGCGGCCAGCAUGGAGCGCGAGCUGGAGGCGCUGGCGGCCCGGCUCGCGCGCCCGGCCGAGCCGCCCUUCCAGGCGUUGGUGGAAGCGGCGGGGGGCCGCGGGCAGGUGCUGCUGGUGGGCGAGCUGUGGGAGCGCGAACAGAGCCGCGCGCUGCUGCGGGACUUCGCACGGGCGGUGUUCCCGCCGGAGCCAGGCGCUGGCAAGCCGGGCGGCGCGGCGGCAGAGGGCGCGGGGUCCGGGGCGGCGCGCGGGGCGCAGAGGGCGGCGAGGGCGGCUGGGGCGGCGGGGGCGGCGGCGGCGGCGGCGCGCGCCAUCCGCUCGCCGCUGGUCUUCGUGCUGUGCCGCGCGUCGUCGCUGGCCGCCCGGGAGCCGCGGCGCCGCCUGCGGGAGAUGCUGCGGGACGUGCGCGGCCGGCGGCGGGCCGGGGCGGCACUGGUCGGGGUGCUGGUGGCCGAGGCCGGGCCAGAGGACGCGGUGGCGCCGGGGCUGCGGCUGCUGGAGGCGCUGUUGCGCGCCGUGUUCGGCCGCCAGGCGGGGGGGCCCGUGCAGGCGGCCGCCUACUGCCCCGGCCUCCCGGCCUCCUGCUUGGCCGUCCAGGCGGCCGCUUGCAGGGCCCUGCAAGCCGCCGGAGCCGGGCAACCAGUGGAAGGAGCCUGGGAGAGGCCAGGCCUCCCCGGACUGCUAGCCUGCUUUUCCUGGGGUCCCUGGAGCCGGAGGAAGAACCAGGAUGUUGCUGCCUGCAGAAGCUCAGCUCAGGAAGACUUCCAGGAACCUGAGGAGGAGCUGGCACUAACAGCCAUAUUUCCCAAUGGAGACUGUGAUGACCUUGGAAGGGGGUCAAAAGCCUGUGAUGGAGUCGUACACACUCCUGCUGAGCCCACCGGAGACUCAAGAUGAAGGCUGGACCCCUGCGCUGUCCCUGGCUCUAACCUACAGACUGGGGCCUGGCUCCUUCUUACUGGCCCCCAGGUCUCCAUGGAGACUGCGGAAACCCCCGCCUGCUGGAGGCCUGCCACACUCACAGUUACCAGCUAGACAGUGGGGCUUACUAAGACAAGCAGGACCUAAAACAGUGUCUCCCCUGGGAACCUACUCCCCACCCAGCAUUUGCUAAGUCUGAUCACAGGGAGGUUAUUUUGUCUCUCUGGCUCGGUUUCUCUGAGCCACUGAGACAGAUGGCUCUCCGCUUUGAGGCUGUGCAGAGCUGUGGCACCCCAUGGUGUGUCUGCAGUGUUCUGGGCACAUGCAUGGGCACCCAUCGUUGAGAGUGCAGCUGGGAAGAACUCUGAACCAGAAGUCAUCAGAGCUGAGGCAUGGCCUUGAACAUGUCACUCAGUCUCUGGGGCUUCUGUUUCACAAUGCAUGAGGGGGCCACCAGCCCAGUGGCUUUAAACCAGGGGCAGGUUGUCCCUCCAGGCAGCAUUGGAAAUGUGUGUGUUGAGGGGGUCACAGUGACUGUGGGGGCACCCCUGGCAUCUAGUGGGCAUCCCACAAUAUGCAGAACAGUCUCUGACAGCAAAGAAUUGGUCCAUUCAAUGCCAAUUGUAGUACCUUUGAGACAUUCUGGCUGAGCCAAUGCCUUCUCCCUGUCAGAGUCCCCCGGAGCAGAGAGGGUCAGGCUUCCCUGGACCUUGGCUCCCAGAGCAAGCCAAAAUAAAGACUACACUGUUGCCUUGGGGGCUUGUCGGGCCAGGGCCAAGACGGUCUGCGUGCUGCAGGGCCAGGACAGAAAUAGCCACACAUGCCGGUGAGAACAAAGAGCCUCUUUCUUUCUCAUGUUGACAUCGACUUUCUGUGCCAAGUCCUUUGGGUAUAAGGAUGCUAGGGAAUUCCUAUAGGCACCAAACAGAAGGAAAGCUAGGAGCUUGGACUACUGGGUAUAGGACUUGCUCUAGCUCUCAGGUCCUAGCCCAAGCUCAAUGCAAACACAGCCCCUCCGGGCUCUCUGUUUCUGUGAGGUUCUGGAAUCCCUUCCUCUGUGUCCGUGAGUCUGACAGAAUCGAUGAUGUUCCCUUAGAGCCGGGAAAUCCAUGUGUUUAUUCACAGAGGGAACUCACCAUUACCUCCCUUGUCUUCUUUGCCUGCCUUGGAGAAAUCCAGAGUCUUCGGAAUGGCAAAGGCAGCUCCUGGAUUUCCCUGGAAGGGAGGCACUAGCUGAGGGAAGUAGCUCCCUUCAUUCAUGAUGCACAGUUUACGCAGCGGACACACAACUGUGCCUACUAUUUGCUCAGUGCCCUGCAAGGUGCUGCCUAACUUUGAUUUGUUAUUUCAGCUCUCUCCAGGAUAGUGCCAAAUGGUGCAAUGGGAAACCUGUUUUGCUGGGGGGCUCUAGAUCACUGGCUCCAGAACUCCCAGCUGCCAGGGUAGCCCCUACCCCCAGCCCCUUGCUCCUGGACAGCAGUGGGUCUCACCUUUAGCCUCUGCCCCCAGUUCUGGUCUGACCCAACAGAGGGGCUCUAUGAUAUUAAGAAGGGGCCCUUCCUGCUCUGUGCCUCAACCUAGUCUCCAUAAUAGGGAGUCUAAUCCUAUUCCUUCCCUGCCUGAUGAGGAUGGUGUGAGGAUGAGGAGGACGGCAUCUCAUUUGGGGUUUUUUGGCAGUGGGCCUCAUUUUAAUCCUGCAGGGCUGCCUGCCAGUAGAUCCAUCCAGCUGCUUCCUUGUAGCCAAGAAUGAGUUCAAUGAAGUGUGAUUCACUGAUUUUAUUGAUUUUGUUUUAAAACAGGGAGACUGGUAUUUUUGAAGCUGCUAUCAUUUUCUAUUUAUUAAUUUCUUUGUAAUCAUCUUAUUAAAGUUUUCGUAUUUA